UGAGGAAUAUUGGACAAUGGGCGCAAGCCUGAUCCAGCCACGCCGCGUGAGUGAUGAAGGCCUUCGGGUCGUAAAGCUCUGUGGAAAGGGACGAAAGUGCACGGUUCGAACAGGGCCGUGUUUUGACAGUACCUUUAUAGCAAGCACCGGCUAACUCUGUGCCAGCAGCCGCGGUAAUACAGAGGGUGCGAACGUUGCUCGGAUUUACUGGGCGUAAAGCGCUUGUAGGCGGGCGAAUGUGUCGGGUGUGAAAUCCCUGAGCUUAACUCAGGAACUGCAUUCGAAACUAUUCGUCUAGAGGAAUUGAGAGGAGAACGGAAUUCCCGGUGUAGAGGUGAAAUUCGUAGAUAUCGGGAGGAACACCAGAUGCGAAGGCGGUUCUCUGGAAAUUAUCUGACGCUGAGAAGCGAAAGCGUGGGGAGCAAACAGGAUUAGAUACCCCCGUAGUCC
rnacentral:rRNA from 1 species